rnacentral:rRNA from 1 species
AUUGAACGCUGGCGGAAUGCUUUACACAUGCAAGUCGAACGGCAGCACGGGGGCAACCCUGGUGGCGAGUGGCGAACGGGUGAGUAAUACAUCGGAACGUGCCCGGUCGUGGGGGAUAACGUAGCGAAAGUUACGCUAAUACCGCAUACGAUCUGAGGAUGAAAGCGGGGGACCUUCGGACCUCGCGCGAUCGGAGCGGCCGAUGUCAGAUUAGGUAGUUGGUGGGGUAAAGGCCUACCAAGCCGACGAUCUGUAGCUGGUCUGAGAGGACGACCAGCCACACUGGGACUGAGACACGGCCCAGACUCCUACGGGAGGCAGCAGUGGGGAAUUUUGGACAAUGGGCGCAAGCCUGAUCCAGCCAUUCUGCGUGCAGGACGAAGGCCUUCGGGUUGUAAACUGCUUUUGUAUGGAACGAAAAGGCUCUGGCUAAUACCUGGGGCUCAUGACGGUACCGUAAGAAUAAGCACCGGCUAACUACGUG